CCUCCUCCUCCCCCAGGUCUGUGUUGGGUAACACACGCCUUCUAGAGCAAGCACAUAUUUAAGCAUUCCCAGGGCACACAACAUCUGCUGCUGUAUGCUCACCCUUCCUCUGCAGCUAGACCAAAACUCAGCACAAAGGUUCUACGUGCACAAAGAUCCUGUGUGUCCACAGAUACUGGUCUGACAUGCAGUGGGCGUUCAUCAAAUAUUAAGCUCUCUCCAGCUGCCUUCCCUACAGCUCUGUUCACCAGCCUUUGCCUGAGGAAACCCAAGCCAAAGGGCCUGGAAGCGAGGCUGGGCCCAGGAUCUGUGCCUGGACCCUGGAAAUGACCUUGGCUGAGUCUGGUUCCUGUCUGCAGCAGGUCUUGU
rnacentral:lncRNA from 1 species